GUUUCCUAUCCUCGAAUAUCUGACAACAGGACUACAUGCGAGACUUCAACAUUCAAGUAACAAUGAUCAAAGAAGGCCAUUGGAAUAUUGCAUUUUUAACUGCUGUACUCCUGUUCUCAGAUGUGUAUUCUGAAAAACAGCGUUUUGGAACAUUCACAGCAUGUGUAAAUGCAGACCAAAGCCUAACACUUAAGUGCUUUUACCCACCUUGUGACAAGACAACAUCCUUUAAUUGUGACAUUUUUGAAGUUGACGGAGACAUGCAAACUCUAAUUGGCAGCUCAAACAAAAAAA